UACGUAGGUGGCAAGCGUUGUCCGGAUUUACUGGGCGUAAAGAGCGCGCAGGCGGUCGUUCAAGUCGCGUGUGAAAGCCCCCGGCUCAACUGGGGAGGGUCACGCGAUACUGAUCGACUCGAAGGCAGGAGAGGGGAAGUGGAAUUCCCGGUGUAGUGGUGAAAUGCGUAGAUAUCGGGAGGAACACCAGUGGCGAAGGCGACUUCCUGGCCUGUUCUUGACGCUGAGGCGCGAAAGCUAGGGGAGCAAACGGG
rnacentral:rRNA from 1 species